GAGAGGAAGAUGAGGAAGAGAAGCCUCGGAGGGCCGAAAGGGAGACCAUGCAGGCUGCUUUUGAGAAAUUCAGAAGACAGCGACAGGAAAGCCGCGACGAAAUUGAGCUGAAGAUGCAUUUUUUUCCCCCCGAAAGCAGAUUUUUAUUUUUUUUUUCGCCUCUGCACGAAAGCCAGGAAAGGAGAAAGAAUAAAUACCAAAAUGUCAGCGAGGUCCCUCCGAUACCAGCUUUUCCAAAACCGAUUGCAAAUAUCUCUGGCAGAAACCACGAUACAUUAAUUGCCCAGGCAUCUGAAUCAUCUUCACAGACAAUCCCCCCCCCUCUCCUCCAGAUAUAAUAAUAGGGAAUCUUUCUUAUGCCUGCCUUUUAUCUCUGACAUACACAACUCACCCGAGCCUUUCUUAGAGAUAUUUCAUCCUCGCUUUUUUUUUGUUGUUGUUGCUGUUUUGACACCGUGCAAUUUUGUUUUUCCUGGGGAGGGGGCAAACCACAGCCCUCCUUUUUUGUGGGAUCUGCAUUCUCCUCUUCCAGAGCGGAGGGGAUUGAUCCUCGGACAGUGUCGAAAUUUGAUAAAUAAAUGAAUAAUCGAAGCAAGAGCUAACGUGGCAA